rnacentral:rRNA from 1 species
CGGGGUGGAGUAAUGUCUGGGAAACUGCCUGAUGGAGGGGGAUAACUACUGGAAACGGUAGCUAAUACCGCAUAACGUCGCAAGACCAAAGUGGGGGGACCUUCGGGCCUCAUGCCAUAAGAUGUGCCCAGAUGGGAUUAGCUAGUAGGUGGGGUAACGGCUCACCUAGGCGACGAUCCCUAGCUGGUCUGAGAGGAUGACCAGCCACACUGGAACUGAGACACGGUCCAG